GCUAGCGGCAGGCCUAACACAUGCAAGUCGAACGGUAACAGCAGAGCUUGCUCUGGCUGACGAGGGGCGCACGGGUGCGUAACGCGUAUACAAUCUACCUUUUACAGAGAGAUAGCCUUUAGAAAUGAAGAUUAAUACCUCAUAGUAUGAUAAUAAGGCAUCUUAUUAUUAUUAAAGCUUCGGCGGUAAAAGAGGAGUAUGCGUUCUAUUAGCUAGAUGGUGUGGUAACGGCACACCAUGGGAACGAUAGAUAGGGGCCCUGAGAGGGGGAUCCCCCACACUGGUACUGAGACACGGACCAGACUCCUACGGGAGGCAGCAGUGAGGAAUAUUGGACAAUGGAGGCAACUCUGAUCCAGCCAUGCCGCGUGCAGGAAGACUGCCCUAUGGGUUGUAAACUGCUUUUAUAUAGGAAGAAACAUCCCGACGUGUCGGGAUUUGACGGUACUAUAAGAAUAAGGACCGGCUAACUCCGUGCCAGCAGCCGCGGUAAUACGGAGGAUGCAAGCGUUAUCCGGAAUCAUUGGGUUUAAAGGGUCCGUAGGCGGACGAUUAAGUCAGGGGUGAAAGUUUGCAGCUCAACUGUAAAAUUGCCCUUGAUACUGGUUGUCUUGAAUUACUGUGAAGUGGUUAGAAUAUGUAGUGUAGCGGUGAAAUGCAUUGAUAUUACAUAGAAUACCAAUUGCGAAGGCAGAUCACUAACAGUAUAUUGACGCUGAGGGACGAAAACGUGGGGAGCGAACAGGAUUAGAUACCCUGGUGGUCCACGCCGUAAACGAUGGAUACUAGCUGUUGGACUUUCGGGUACUGAGUGGCUAAGCGAAAGUGAUAAGUAUCCCACCUGGGGAGUACGUUCGCAAGAAUGAAACUCAAAGGAAUUGACGGGGGCCCGCACAAGCGGUGGAGCAUGUGGUUUAAUUCGAUGAUACGCGAGGAACCUUACCAGGGCUUAAAUGUAGAUUGACAGGACUAGAGAUAGUUAUUUCUUCGUACUACUUACAAGGUGCUGCAUGGUUGUCGUCAGCUCGUGCCGUGAGGUGUCAGGUUAAGUCCUAUAACGAGCGCAACCCCUGUUGUUAGUUGCCAGCGAGUCAUGUCGGGAACUCUAACAAGACUGCCGGUGCAAACCGUGAGGAAGGUGGGGAUGACGUCAAAUCAUCACGGCCCUUACGUCCUGGGCUACACACGUGCUACAAUGGUAUAUACAGAGAGCAGCCACCUGGCGACAGGGAGCGAAUCUAUAAAGUAUAUCACAGUUCGGAUCGGAGUCUGCAACUCGACUCCGUGAAGCUGGAAUCGCUAUUAAUCGGAUAUCAGCCAUGAUCCGGUGAAUACUUUCCCGGGCCUUGUACACACCGCCCGUCAAGCCAUGGAAGCUGGGAUUAUCUGAAGUCGGUCACCGCAAGGAGCCGCCUAGGGUAAAACUGG
rnacentral:rRNA from 1 species